rnacentral:rRNA from 1 species
UACGUAGGGACCAAGCGUUGUUCGGAUUUACUGGGCGUAAAGGGCGCGUAGGCGGCCGAUCAAGUCAGGCGUGAAAUUCCCGGGCUCAACCUGGGGGCUGCGCUUGAUACUGAUUGGCUUGAAUGCGGGAGAGGAUAGUGGAAUUCCCAGUGUAGAGGUGAAAUUCGUAGAUAUUGGGAAGAACACCGGUGGCGAAGGCGGCUAUCUGGCCCGUAAUUGACGCUGAGGCGCGAAAGCGUGGGGAGCAAACAGG